rnacentral:rRNA from 1 species
GGAAGUAAUAAAGGGCGCAUGGCGGAUGCCUUGGCUCACGGAGGCGAUGAAGGACGCGGCAAGCUGCGAAAAUCUGCGGUUAGGUGCAAGUGACCUGUGACCCGCAGGUGUCCGAAUGGGACAACCCGGCAGUCUGAAGGACUGUCACCGGCGCGUUUGUCGCGCGCCGGGGCGAACGGAGGGAACCGAAACAUCCCAGUACCUCCAGGAAGAGAAAAUAAACAAUGAUUCCCCCAGUAGCGGCGAGCGACCGGGGACUAGCCCAAACCGGUGCGGUGGCGACGCCGCGCCGGGGUUGUAGGACCGCGCCGUCCACCGGCGCGCGGCGAGGGGAAGCCGCUGGAAAGCGGCCCCGCAGCGGGUGAGAGGCCCGUACCCGAAGCCGCGCCGCCCGGUGCAGCGGUAUCCUGAGUAACGCGGGACACGAGGAAUCCUGCGCGAAUCCGCCGGGCCCCCCCGGCAAGGCUGAACACUCCCGUGAGACCGACAGUGAACGAGUACCGUGAGGGAAAGGUGAAAAGCACUCCGACGAGGAGGGUGAAAGAGUCCCUGAAACCAUGCGCCUUCAAGCGGUCGGAGCACACUUGUGUGUGUGACGGCGUGCCUUUUGCAUAAUGAGCCUACGAGUUGCCCUCACCGGCGAGGUUAAGCCCCACGAGGGGCGUAUCCGCAGUGAAAGCGAGCCUGAACAGGGCGCGGAGUCGCUGGGGGCAGACGCGAAACCAAGUGAUCUACGCAUGCCCAGGGUGAAGUCCCGGUAACACGGGAUGGAGGCCCCAACCAAUAAGCGUUGAAAAGCUUCUGGAUGAGGUGUGCGUAGGAGUGAAAGGCCAAUCAAACUUGGAGAUAGCUCGUACUCCCCGAAAGGCAUUUAGGUGCCGCGUGCCGCUGACCGCGCGAGAGGUAGAGCGACCGGCAGGAUGCGAGGGCUUCACCGCCUGUCAAGUCCUUCCGAACUCCGAAUGCUCGCGCGCCGCUGCGGCGCAGUAAGGGCGCGGGUGCUAAGGUCCGUGCCCGAGAGGAGAAGAAUCCGGACCGCCGCCUAAGGUCCCGGAGUUCUGCCUGAGUUAGCCUAACGAGGUGCGGUCCCGGUGACAGCCAGGAUGUUGGCUUGGAAGCAGCCAUUCAUUCAAAGAGUGCGUAACAGCUCACUGGUCGAGGGUCCGCGCGUGGAUAAUAAUCGGGUAUAAGGCAGACACCGAAGGCGCGGGAUAGCACGUUGUUGAAAAGUAUCGGUAGGGGAGCAUUGCACGCGCGUCGAAUGGCGGGGGCGACCCCCCCUGGAGCGCGUGGAAGAGCAAAUGUAGGCAUGAGUAACGAUUAGGGCGGCGAGAACCCGCCCCGCCGCAAGACCAAGGUUUCCCGGGCAAUGCCAGUCAUCCCGGGGUCAGUCGGGUCCUAAGCCCCAGCCUAACGGCGAAGGCGAUGGCAGAAACGGUCAACAUUCCGUUACUGCCGUCCGGAGCGACGCGCUGACGGAGAAGUGACACCGCCGCGUGCUGACGGAAUAGCACGUUGAAGGCCAAAGGCGCCGAGGGACGCAGGUAAGUCCGCGUCCCGAGCCGAAGGCCGAGAGUACGGAGCGCCCCCCGGGGCAAUCCGAGAGCGCGGGUAAUCAUGCUCCCGAGAAAAUGCGCUAAGCACAUCCGGUCGGCACCCGUACCGCAGACCGACACAGGUGGUCGGGUAGAGCAUACUGAGGCGUUGGGAGAUUCAUGGUCAAGGAACUAGGCAAACUGACCCCGUAACUUCGGGAGAAGGGGUCCUCGCGGCGACGCGAGGCGCAGAGACCAGGUCCAGGCAACUGUUUAACAAAAACACAGGGCUGUGCAAACACGAAAGUUGACGUAUACAGCCUGACACCUGCCCGGUGCCGGAAGGUUAAGAGGAGGCGUCAGCGGCCGUUUUGGCCGCGCAGCGCCGAGUUGAAGCCCCGGUAAACGGCGGCCGUAACUAUAACGGUCCUAAGGUAGCGAAAUUCCUUGUCGGGU